rnacentral:lncRNA from 13 species
CUGACUUUGAGAAACUGCAAUGACCUGGACAACUCACCCCACUUCCCAGGAAAGUCUCUCCUUCCUUCUCUCAAAAAAGAUUGGAGGCUGCUCUGGGAUUAGUGCUGCCUGCUACCUCCCUGAAGGCUUUGUAUCCUGCAGAAGUGGGCUCCCAGGGCCUCCAUGGAGAGGAGUGCCUUCUCAGCUCAGCCUUGACUUCAGAGGGGUCUAGGGUAGGAGUGGGAAUGAGGGCUCCAUUACUUACUUCAUUCCUUCGUAGUCUAUGCUAAGUAUUCAAGAGUUACAAGCAAAGCUGCAAACUUGUAUGUUCUUUCCUUCAUCUUUGACAAAACACUGUUAACCAAACUGAAAUGAAGCCAGGUAAGAAGUAAGAUUUUGGCAUUUACUGGUGGCGGGGGGUGUCUUAGGAAUUGUAAUUUGGUAGACACAAUACCCUUUAUGACAACCUAGAAAAUCAGCUUCUAACUUUAGAACUUCAGACUCUGUAGAGCCCUGAGCUGGAAUAUACUGGAGCAGGGAGGACCGUCCUUACUGCCCCUUCAGUCUAGGGGUGUGUGUGUAUGUGUGUGUGUGUGUGUGUGUGUGUGUGUGUUUGUGUGCUAGAGAAGUGUGUGCUUUGGUUCCAAUGUUGUGGGAGGAAACCUGGACAGAGGCCCAGACAGGAGCCCAAAGUGUGGUUCAGAAGAAAGCCCUGAGCUUUGGUCUGGCAUCUUUUCUUGGGGCUGUGAAAUCCUCACCCUGUGAAGAGCCCCAAGCCCAGAGGAAGUGGCAGCAUUAUACCGUCCCAGACGGAGAAGACCCUCAAUCAAUACUGUUCAAAGGAAAGGACAGGAUAGACCUUUGCAAUAGACUCUUCUAAUUUUGUAAGUACUAAAGGAUAAGAGAUAAUUGAGAAUGCCUUGGAAAUGACAAAGUCCCACUAUUGAUUUCUUGUAGUCUGCAGAUUAACUUUUCUUUAAAUCUUGUCUUCCUUAUUUUUGCAAGUCUAGUCCUGUUGUAUUGGUCUGAUGCAGACGAACCUGUCCCAAGAAGCCUCUUCUAUGCUCCUAAUUGGGUGUCACGGUACAUGAUCUAGAAUGAUGGAAAAUCAGAACUGAGAAGAGACAUUAGAAGUCAUUUAGAGAUAUUCUGAUACCUGAACCUUAACAUUAACCACAACCCUG